CUUCAGAGGCCGGAGGUGGGCCGCAGCCGCCUGGUGCCCAAGCGAGGAGAAGUGCAGGCCCGUCUCCGCGGCGCCCAUCAGCUGGUCCAUGAUCGGCUUCCCCAGGCCGCCCGGCAGAGAGAGGGAUCCGUUGUGAGGGAGCGCCAGGGCCGGGAAAAAGGGCGGCUGGUGACCCAGCAUUGCACUCAUGGCAAAGUCCGGACCCCGGUGCGGUAUGAACGGAUGAUAAGCCAUACUUGUUCCUGGUAUGACCGGGUCUCUCAUCAGGAAGCUCAUCCAAGUUCAGAUUGUAAAUGAUAAGCAGUACAGACUUGGUGGCACCGCUGCUGAAUGGAGGAUGUUGUCUAUGGGAGUCAUCAGCCCUAACUCAACGUGAUAGGCAGAGGAAACGUCACAAGCCCUAGACACUACAGUAAGGACUCUGUGUGGUGGAUACAACAUGUCACAGACCCCAGAACCAAUCGGAAGAGCCCUCAAGAGGUCACAGCAUCCCAGACCAGGAAGAGCCCUCAUAACCAAGAAGAGCCCUCAUGAGGUCACACCAAGAAGAGCCCUCAUAAGGUCACAGCAUAACAACCAGCAGAAUCUCAAAACCUCCCUCUCUUCUCUCUUAUCUAUCUAUCUACUAUCUAUCUAUCUAUCUAUCUAUCUAUCUAUCUAUCUAUCUAUCUAUCUAUCUAUCUAUCUAUCUAUCUAUCUAUCUAUCUAUCUAUCUAUCUAUCUAUCUAUCUAUCUAUCUAUCUAUCUAUCUAUCUAUCUAUCUAUCUAUCUAUCUAUCUAUCUAUCUAUCUAUCUAUCUAUCUAUCUAUCUAUCUAUCUAUCUAUCUAUCUUCUAUCUGUCUAUCUGUUUGUCUGUCCCUCUGUCCAUCUGUCUGACUGUCUAUCUGUUACUUGUCUGUUAGCCAUGUCUUGAUAUUUGUAUUUUUUAAUGACGGGCAGAUUUGUAAAACAUCUAGAAUGCCAAUAUAAUUUGUUUGUCUGUCUGUCUCUUGUCUUUUGGUUUUUCCUUUUUUUUUUGUGUUUCAGCAUUCAUGCUCCUGGAUUUGUAAAGUAUUUAUCAAGCAAAUAUAAUUUGCUCUCAAAGCAUGUGCAGACAGGAAGAAACAAAGAUCUCCCCAGAGCUCAUCAUGGUGUGUGUGUGUGUGUGUGUGUGUGUGUGUGUGUGUGUGUGUGUGUGUGUGUGUGUGUGUGUGUGUGUGUGUGUGUGUGUGUGUGUAUGUGUGUGUGUGAGGGGGGCCUGAUAUCACAUGUCAGUUAGAUGCCCAAGUUCAGCACCCCGCUUCAAGACUGUAGCUGCUCGGAUCAAUGGAAUGAUGCAGGGGAUAAGGGCAGCCCCGCCCCCCCCAUUCAAAGUGUGGCUUCUGAUUGGACGGUGGCCCCCCCACACACAGUGGGGCUUCUGAUUGGACGGUGGUGUGGGUAUUUGGACCACUGGUGGAUAGAGUGUCACAUCGAUUCCUGUAAUCCGAGAGACUUCCAUGGUGUCAAAAGUCACCGGUUGGGUUUCUGCAUUAUUUCAUCUGGAUUUCAUCUAGAAAUGUGUUUAUGUUAAAAACAUUGUUUUUAACUGUAGAGCUAUUUUGCAUAUUUUAUUAUUUGUUUUUUCGAAAGUAAGUCAUAUUUUCUCUUGUCAUUUGUGCUUAUGUGUAUGAUUAUACCUGCAAUAAUGAUAUGCAAAGUAUAUGUUAUAAUCUCAAUAUAUAAACACGGUUUAUUAAAGAAA